rnacentral:rRNA from 1 species
CUAAGGUUUCCUCAGGAAGGUUCGUCCGCUGAGGGUUAGUCGGGACCUAAGCCGAGGCCGAAAGGCGUAGGCGAUGGACAAUCGGUUGAUAUUCCGAUACCACUACUGAUCGUUAUUAUCGAUGGUGUGACGGAGAAGGAUAGAGUGUGCUAGCUAUUGGAUGCUAGUCUAAGCGUUUAGGGAGUUAGGAAAGGCAAAUCCGUCCUAACAAUUCUGAGGCGUGAUGGGGAAGGUUCUACGGAACCGAAGUACUUGAUUCCAUGCUUCCAAGAAAAGCAUCUAGAGAGAGAUGUAGUGCCCGUACCGCAAACCGACACAGGUAGAUGAGGAGAGAAUCCUAAGGCCGGCGGAAGAAUCACAGUUAAGGAACUAGGCAAAUUGACCCCGUAACUUAGGGAGAAGGGGUGCCUGUGAGAGCAGGCCGCAGAGAAUAGGCCCAAGCAACUGUUUAGCAAAAACACAGGUCUCUGCUAAAGCGAAAGCUGAUGUAUAGGGGCUGACGCCUGCCCGGUGCUGGAAGGUUAAGGGGAACACUUAGCGCAAGCGAAGGUGUGAACUUAAGCCCCAGUAAACGGCGGCCGUAACUAUAACGGUCCUAAGGUAGCGAAAUUCCUUGUCAGGUAAGUUCUGACCCGCACGAAUGGCGUAAUGACUUGGGCACUGUCUCAACUGUGAAUCCGGCGAAGUUGUAGUGCGAGUGAAGAUGCUCGCUACCCGCGAUUGGACGGAAAGACCCCGUAGAGCUUUACUGUAGCUUAGCAUUGAAUUUCGGUAUUGUCUGUACAGGAUAGGUGGGAGACUGGGAAAUCAGGGCGUCAGCCUUGAUGGAGUCGUCCUUGGGAUACCACCCUGACAGUACUGAGGUUCUAACUGGAUGCCAUGAAUCUGGUGACAGGACAUUGUUAGGUGGGCAGUUUGACUGGGGCGGUCGCCUCCUAAAAAGUAACGGAGGCGCCCAAAGGUUCCCUCAGAACGGUCGGAAAUCGUUCGAAGAGUGCAAAGGCAGAAGGGAGCCUGACUGCGACACCCACAAGUGGAGCAGGGACGAAAGUCGGGCUUAGUGAUCCGGUGGUACCUCGUGGGAGGGCCAUCGCUCAACGGAUAAAAGCUACCUCGGGGAUAACAGGCUGAUCUCCCCCAAGAGUCCACAUCGACGGGGAGGUUUGGCACCUCGAUGUCGGCUCG